UACAUGUAGACGCCAUCCUUUCUACGCCAGGGCUUACGCUGCCUGACGAUGACGGCUGGCAUGACCUUCUUCCUGAGAUCUGGCUUCCCUUUCUUCACGGUGGCCAUCACCAUGUCUCCAACGCAAGCCGAUGGCAAGCGGUUGAGGCGGCCCUUGAUUCCUUUCACCGAAAUGAUGUACAGAUUCUUCGCUCCAGUGUUAUCGGCACAGUUCACCGUCGCUGCGACUGGCAGACCCAGCGACAUC
rnacentral:lncRNA from 1 species